UACAGAGGCGGCGAGCGUUGUUCGGAUUUACUGGGCGUAAAGGGUGCGUAGGCGGUUGCGUGUGUCGGAUGUGAAAUCCCUCUGCCUAACGGAGGAAUGGCAUUCGAAACUACGAAACUUGAGUACUGGAGAGGAGAGUGGAAUUCUCGGUGUAGCGGUGAAAUGCGUAGAUAUCGAGAAGAACACCGGUGGCGAAGGCGGCUCUCUGGACAGAUACUGACGCUGAGGCACGAAAGCUGGGGGAG
rnacentral:rRNA from 1 species